GGGGCCUUAGCUCAUGCUUGGUUAGAGCAGUGGACUCAUAAUCCAUUGGUGCCCAGUUCGACUCUGGGAGGCCCUACCA
rnacentral:tRNA from 2 species